CACGUAGUUAGCCGUGACUUUCUGGUUAGGUACCGUCAAAGUCGAGACAGUUACUCCUCGACUUGUUCUUCUCUAAUAACAGAACUUUACGAUCCGAAGACCUUCUUCAUUCACGCGGCAUUGCUCCAUCGGGUUUGCACCCAUUGUGGAAGAUUCCCUACUGCUGCCUCCCGUAGGAGUCUGGGCCGUGUCUCAGUCCCAGUGUGGCCGAUCACCCUCUCAGGUCGGCUACGUAUCAUGGUCUUGGUAGGCCAUUACCCCACCAACUAACUAAUACGCCGCGGGAUCAUCUAAAAGCGACAGCAAAGCCGUCUUUCUUUCCAGAACCAUGCGGUUCAAGAAUAUAUGCGGUAUUAGCAUCCGUUUCCGAAUGUUAUCCCCCAUCUUAGGCAGAUUCCCCACGUGUUACUCACCCGUUUCGCCACUCAUCCGCACUCUGCAAGCAGAGUGCUUCAGCGUUCGACUUGCAUGUAUUAGGCAUGCCGCCAGCGUUCGU
rnacentral:rRNA from 1 species